rnacentral:rRNA from 1 species
AGUGAACGCUGGCGGUAGGCCUAACACAUGCAAGUCGAACGGCAGCACAGUAAGAGCUUGCUCUUACGGGUGGCGAGUGGCGGACGGGUGAGGAAUACAUCGGAAUCUACUUUUUCGUGGGGGAUAACGUAGGGAAACUUACGCUAAUACCGCAUACGACCUACGGGUGAAAGCAGUGGAUCUUCGGACCUUGCGCGAUUGAAUGAGCCGAUGUCGGAUUAGCUAGUUGGCGGGGUAAAGGCCCACCAAGGCGACGAUCCGUAGCUGGUCUGAGAGGAUGAUCGGCCACACUGGAACUGAGACACGGUCCAGACUCCUACGGGAGGCAGCAGUGGGGAAUAUUGGACAAUGGGCGAAAGCCUGAUCCAGCCAUACCGCGUGGGUGAAGAAGGCCUUCGGGUUGUAAAGCCCUUUUGUUGGGAAAGAAAAGCAGCAGGUUAAUACCCCGCUGUUCUGACGGUACCCAAAGAAUAAGCACCGGCUAACUUCGUG